rnacentral:rRNA from 1 species
GUGGCGAACGGGUGAGUAACACGUGAGUAACCUGCCCUUGACUCUGGGAUAACCGCGGGAAACGGCGGCUAAUACCGGAUAUGAGACGUACAGGCAUCUGUUGCGUCUGGAAAGAUUUAUCGGUCAAGGAUGGGCUCGCGGCCUAUCAGCUUGUUGGUGGGGUGAUGGCCUACCAAGGCGACGACGGGUAGCCGGCCUGAGAGGGCGACCGGCCAC